GGGACAUGUGACACAAUCACAUGAGAGCCUGGGUCAAGAUUCUAAGGUCCCAACUGAAAAAAACAGACUUCUGGGGGAAGUUCGGAGGUAGCUGAGAUUUCCAUCUUUCUAAAAAGUUUCUGGCCCUUUUGUGAGAUACCAGCUUGAGAAGAGAAAAACUACUUUUACUGGCUGUUGGCAGUGGGAUAGAAGACCAAAGAAAAACCAUUCCUUCUCUGCUGGACCUACUUUGUACUUGACCUCUGGGAUCUUGGCUCAUUUACUGAACUCUGUUGUGAGGUUCUGUUUGGGGGGAACUUAACUUAUUUAGCCUAGAUAAGUUAGCCAUUAGGAUAUUAUUAAGGGAAUUUAGGUUUGAGGAUAAGAGUAAGAACUUUUCCUUCUCCCUUAUUACCCCUCCUUCCUCUUUCAUUCCCCAUCAAUAAACUUAAUAUUUAGAUGUUUCCCUCUUAUCCCUUUCCCUUAAAAAAUCCCACAGUAACACCAGGUCUCAGUUUCCCAAUUCACAAAAAUGAGGGGAUUAUAGUGAGUCCUGAGUCAUUCCAACUAAAUCUACAAUCCUAUAAUCCUCCCAGUCCCAUUCUUUUUGUCUGAGAUCUGUGAUAUUCCACAUGCCUUCUUGAUUGUAGCAAAAGACAUUGUUUGUUCUUUCCUUGCCCAGUUCCCAAGAAAUUGUCUACUUUACUCAAGUUCCACUGUGGCAGCAUUAUGGCUCUUCUGUUUCCCACAACACCCCCACCCCACCCCCCAGUAGGCCAUCCCAGAACACUGAGUAUUAUUAUGCUAGGGAAUUUUUGGUCAGUCCCUCAGGUUCAGUUCUAUGGGGGAAAAAGGUGCUCAUUCCAAUAGUUUACACUGGGCAAAACAUACCUGAAUUAUUGUGCUUAUUUCUGAGAAUCACAUUUUAGGGAAGAUGCCAGUAAAUUUAAAAGCAUUCAGUAUCUAGAAGAAGAGAGUCUGGAAAUCAGGUCCUGGGUGUAUGUAUGAAGGAAGUCAAGAAAAAAACAAGUCUUAUGCAGAGAUAGCUUUCAUUACAAGAAAGGCUGCCAUAUAUAAACGAUGAGAUUUCUACUCCCAGUUUGAGCCCAGAAGGAAAAUCAAGGAGUAAUUGGUGCAAUUUGCUGAGAAGCCUACUUAAGCUCAAUGUUUGAAUCUCCUUGGAGAAGAUCAAAGCUGACUGCCAGCCGUAUUACCGUAAGAGUACAAUCCUGAACUCUGACUAUCAUUAAACUCUUCUGACAAGGA